rnacentral:rRNA from 1 species
ACGCAUUAAGUUCUCCGCCUGGGGAGUACGCCGGCAACGGUAAAACUCAAAGGAAUUGACGGGGACCCGCACAAGCGGUGGAGCAUGUGGUUUAAUUCGAUGCAACGCGAAGAACCUUACCUGCCCUUGACAUCCUCAGAACUUGUUAGAAAUAACUUGGUGCCUUCGGGAAUUGAGUGACAGGUGCUGCAUGGCUGUCGUCAGCUCGUGUCGUGAGAUGUUGGGUUAAGUCCCGCAACGAGCGCAACCCUUGUCCCUAGUUGCCAGCACUUCGGGUGGGAACUUUAGGGAGACUGCCGGUGACAAACUGGAGGAAGGUGGGGACGACGUCAAGUCAUCAUGGCCCUUAUGGGCAGGGCUACACACGUGCUACAAUGGCGAAUACAGAGGGUUGCCAGCCAGCAAUGGUGAGCCAAUCCCUUAAAGCUCGUCGUAGUCCGGAUCGGAGUCUGCAACUCGACUCCGUGAAGUCGGAAUCGCUAGUAAUCGCGAAUCAGAAUGUCGCGGUGAAUACGUUCCCGGGUCUUGUACACACCGCCCGUCACACCAUGGAAGUAGGUUGUACCAGAAGUAGGUAGCUUAACCUUCGGGAGGGCGCUUACCACGGUGUGGCUUAUGACUGGGGUGAAGUCGUAACAAGGUAACCGUA